UUCGGUAAUGCUCCGUAACCCUAUUUCAACGUCGAAUACGGGUUAGGGGUGUUACAUGAUAACCCCUUGGAGUAUAGCUCAUUUUUUAAUGCGUAUAAGAAGCCACCUCGAUCAAUCGAUUGUUGCCAAAAAAUGAAGGAACAAGCACCAUGCUAUUGUGAGUACAUGAAGAUAGAAGAUGCCAAACGUGUUUUUGAUAGAUUUGAGAUUGCAGAAAUGGCUAAAUUGUGUGGAGUUUCAUAUUCUUUCACCUGCUAGAGUCCCGUUUGGUUUCAUUUGACUAUCUCUGGCCAGGAUAACUUGGCAUCUCAAUAAAUGAUAAUUUUAUUUGAAAGCUAUUUUUUUACUCAUUAUUUCGACUAUAAUGUACUUGUGUUCUUUUUUUUUUCCGGAAUGAUACUGGUGGUUUGCUAUCAUUUACCUUUAUUAUCUUGAUUCAUGUUACAUAUGUGCUAAAAGAACUACACAAUGAUCUAGAUUUAGUUUGAAUCGUACUAGAUUGGUUUGAUUGGAAACUGAUCUGGAUACCAACAUAAUUAGAGGGGUUAGAUUGAUUGACCCACGAACCAAUAAAGGCUAGUUGAAACGAUUUUCUCUAUUUCUUUAAAAAUAUUUUUAUAUUUAUUUAAAUUAUUAAAUAAUUUAAUUAAUUAAACGUACACUAGUAGUCACUCAACUUUUAGUAAAUUUCUUUUUUUCUCAUCGAAUUAUGAAAAAUUACAAAAUGAUCAACCAACUAUUCAAUUUUCUAUUUUUUGAUCUCUAGUUAGCUAAUGGUGGCAGCUAGACUUGUUAAUUGGCCGGAUUACUUGCCCAAGUCCGACGGCCCGCUUGAAAAAUGGAAGGUUUUGGACAAAUACACGAUGCCGAAAAAUGGGCUUGGGUAAAAGUUAAGGCCUAUUUUCUAUAUGAGUCGGGAUCUGUGCAAAUAUUUUUCACCCGAGCACAAUCUGACCCGAAUAUAUUAUGUUUUAAAAAUAAUUAUAUUAAUUAUAUAUGUUAAAUAAUAAUUAUAUAUUUAUAUAUAUUGAAUUACUAACCCAAUAAUAACUAAACCCAUUACCCAAAACCUAAAAAAAACUUAGCCAACUAAAUAAUUGGCUUCAGCUAUUCCUAAAGCUCGUCAAUUAGUUAACCAUAGACAUAUUUUAGUUAAUGGCUUACAGUAGAUAUGCCAAGUUAUCAUUGUAAGCCUCGAGGUAUUAUUUCAACGAGGGAUGAACAAAAUUCUAGAACUCUGAUUCAAAAUUAUCUUGAUUCAUCCACCAAUGAGGAAUUACCAAAACAUUUGACCCUUCACACAUUACUAUAUAAAGGAUUAGUCAAUUAAAUAAUAGAUGGAUAAUGGGUUGGUUUGAAAAUAAAUGGAUUGCUUGUCAUAGAAUAUUAUUCUCGUCAGAACUAAAAAUAUAAAAUUUUAAAUUUUUUAUUUAAUACAAUAAAACAUUUAUCAUAUUUAUGGUAGCGUUUUUUAAAGAAUUUUUAAUGUGGUAUGAAACACUCAGUUGAUGAAACUUAUUUAGUGGUAGAUUCAAUAGACUAUUAGGUCAUUAAUUCUGAAGUCAUUAAUAAUAUUUGUGUUUAUUGCUGGGGUUCAAGUAAACGAGAAGCCUUCGUGAUAAGGAUCUCCCGUUGCGAACUGGGGAUGGGAGAAAUGUAGCGGCAAAAGUAGUGGGAGAAGCACAUUUGUAUUUUGAUAAUUUUAGGAAAUUUAUUUUAAAUGAUAUUUUUUAUGUACAUAGUUUUAGGAGAAAUUUAAUUUUUGUUGCAUGUUUAUUUAAAGAAAGUUUUUCUAUGACUUCUAAUAAAAGGAUUGCAAUUCAUAAAAAUCAUGUUCUUAUCCGUAAUGGAUGACUGCAAAAUAAUAUUUAUUUUAUUACACAAAAGAGCCACUCACUGCUUGAAACCAAACUUGUGAAUAAGAAACUUAAAACAUCUCACUUUAAUACUUAAGAUAUUUAAGACUUAGUCGCGUUAAACAAUAAAGAAUGAAUAAACUUUUUAAAGAUGGAACUUUAAGCUCACUUAAAGAGAUACAUCUUCCACCAUGUGAAUCUUGUUGCAAAGGUAAAAUGACCAAGCAAUCUUCUAAUGCAAAAGGUACAAGGGUUGUUCAAUCAUUAAAACUUGUACAUACCGACGUAUGUGGUCCCAUGAACGUUAGUGUGAGAUUUGGUUACAAUUAUUAUGUAAACUUUUUAGAUAUUUAUUCCAGAUACUGGUAUAUGUACCUAAUGCACCACAAGAGUGAAACUUUUAAAAAAUUUCAAGAGUUUAGUGUGAAAGUGUAAAAACAAUUAGGUUUACCCAUUAAGACACUUCCGUUUGACCGACGUGGGGAAUACUUAUUGGAUGAGUUCAUAGGAUACCUCAUAGAGAAUGAGAUAUUAUCCCAAUUAACUGUGUAAGGUACUCCACAAUAGAAUAGCGUGGCACAAAGAUGGAACAAAACCUUGCUUGAUAUGAUUUAUUCAACGUUAAGUUAUUCAAAACUAUUGAUAUCAUUCUGGGGGUAAGCAUUACUAAUGACUUCCUAUAUUCUAAAUUACAUACAAACUAAGGUAGCACCUUAGGAUCCAUAUGAAAUUUGGCACGACAUGAAGCCAGGUCUAAAUCAUUUUAGGAAUUGGGGAUGCCCAACCUACGUGUCGGCUAAAGAUGCAAAAAAGUUGGAAGCACAAAUAGAAUUGUGCAUGUUUGUUGGAUGUCCAAAAUGGAGUAAGGGUGGAUAAUUUUAUAACCCAAAAUACCUAACGGUUAAGGUUUCGACUUAUGCUAAUUUUCUUGAGAAAAUCUACAUUAACAAUUUUAAACUUCGAAGUAGAUUGUUACUUCAGAAAAUUUCAAGAAAAUUAGCUUAUUUUUCGAUGACUAGUAAGUCAUUUUCUGUGAAACAAACUCACUUGAAGGAAAAUGAAUAAGAGGAUAAUAAAUUAUAAACAGUGAUCUAAAAAAUUUUACUCAUACCAUCAUUUUAAUUGAUUUUAUUAGUAAUUUUCAUUUUCUAUUUUACUUUUUUUAGUGACUCUUUAAAUAAUUAAGACCAUUAAAAAUAAACCAUAACAACUAAAAUUUAAAUUUUAAUAUUAUAGAAAAACCAUAUAUUUUAAUUUCAAUUUUAAAUCUUCAAAAAUGGUAAACCUAACAACAUCCUUUUACCAAAUUACACAUUACACGUAUUGUCAAAACUCUCGGCAACUAAUAAUCCAACGGCUAUACAUUGGCCAAAUUUCAUGGGAAAAAAAAACAUGUCAACACAAAAUUACCCUUAGUAGUGCCUAGCUAGCAAACUUUUUAUUUAAAAAAACCAUGAAGAGGUUUUCCCUUAUUUGUUUUGUGCGUGGUGAACUCUAGUAGGUGGUGUUAUUUUCAGGUGCAGAGACAGCGCCAGUGCCAAAUGUGAUAACCCCUUGGAGUAUAGCUCAUGCUUGAACGCGUAUAAGAAAGCCACCUCCAUCAGCUGGUGUUGCCAGAAAAUGAAGGAACCAGCACCAUGCUAUGUGAGUACAUGAAGAUAGAAGAUGUCAAACGUGUUUUUGACAGAGUUGAGAUUGCGAAAAUGGCUAAAUUGUGUGGAGUUUCAUAUUCUUCCACCUGCUAGAAUCCCAUUUGGUUUCAUUUGACUAUCUCUGGCUAGGAUAACCUGGCAUCUCAAUAAAUAAAAUUUUAUUUGAAAACUAUUUUUUACUCAUAAUUUCGACUAUAAUGUACUUGUGUCCUUUUUUUUGGAAUGAUACUGGUCAUUUGCUAUUAUUUACCUUUAUUGUCUUGAUUCAUGUUACAUAUGUGCUAAAAGAACUACACAAUGAUCUAGAUUUUGUUUGAACCGUAUUGGAUUGGUUGGAUUUGGAAAUUGAUCUGGAUACCAAUAUAAUUUGAAGGGUUAGAUUGGUUGACCCACGAACCAAUGGAGACUAGUUGAAACGGUUUUCUUUAUUUCUUAAAAAAUAUUUUUAUAUUUAUUUAAAUUAUUAAAUAAUUUAUUUAAUCAAACUAGACGAACAAGUCGAAAUGAAAAAUAUUUAUUUGACUGAUUCGAUCAUCGGUCCAGUUCUGAAAACAUUGUUCUGAAAAUAUGUUAUUCGAAUAUUUAUUUGGGUAAAGUACACUAGUAGUCACUCAACUUUUAGUAAAUUUCUUUUUUUUCUCAUCGAAUUAUGAAAAAUUACAAAAUGAUCACCCAACUAUUCAAUUUUUUUUCUUUUUUGAUCUCAGUUAGCUAAUGGUGGUAGUUAGACUUGUUAAUUGGCUAGGUUACCUACUCAAGUCCGACGGCCUGCUUGAAAAAUGAAAGGGUUUAGACAAAUACAUGAUGCCGAAAAAUGGGCUUGGGUAAAAUUUAAGGCCUAUGUUCUAUAUGGGUCGAGAUUUGUGCAAAUUAUUUUGACUUGAUCCUAGUCCGACCCGAAUAUAUUAUGUUAUAAAAAAUAAUUAUAUUAAUUAUAUAUGUUAAAUAAUUAUUAUAUUUUUUAUAUUUAUAUUAAAUUAUUAACCCAAUAACAAUUAAACUCAUUACCCAAGCCCUAAAAAAAACCUUACCCAACUAAAUAAUUGGCUUCGACUAUUCCUAAAGCCUGUCAAGUAGUUAACCAUAGACAUAUUUUAGUUAAUGGUGUACAGUAGUUAUACCAAGUCAUCGUUGCAAGCUCCGAGAUAUUAUUUUAGCGACGGAUGAACAAAAUUCUAGAACUCUGAUUCAAAAUUACUUUGAUUCAUCCACCAAUGAGGAAUUACCAAAACAUUUGACCCUUCACACAUUACUAUAUAAAGGAUUGGUCAAUCAAAUAAUAGAUAGGAAAUGGGUUGGUUUGAAAAUAAAUGGAUUGAUUGUCGUAGAAUAUUAUUCUCAUCGGAACUCAAAAUAUAAAAUUUUAUUUAAUACAAUAAAACAUUUAUUAUAUUUAUUGUAGUGUUUUUUAAUGAAUUUUUAAUGUGGUAUGAAACUCUUAGUUGAUGUAACUUGUUUAGUUCUAGAUUCAAUAUACUAUUAGGUCAUUAAUCCUGAAGCCAUUAAUCAUAUUUCUUUUUAUUACAGGGGUUCAAGUAGAACAGAAGCCUUCGUGAUAAGGAUUUCUCGUUGCGAACUAGAGAUGAGAGAAAUGUAACGGCAAAAGUAGUGGGAGAAAUACAUUUGUAUUUUGAUAAUUUUAGAAAAAAUAUUUUAAAUGACAUUUUUAUGUACCUAGUUUUCCUGUGACUUCUAAUAAAGGAACUUCAAUUCAUAAAAAUCAUGUUCUUAUCCGUAAUGGAUGGAUGCAAAAUAAUAUUUAUUUUAUUAAACAAAAGAGCUACUCACUGCUUGAAACCGAGCUUGUGAAUAAGAAACUUAAAACUUCUCACUCUAAUACUUAUGAUAUUUAAGACUUAGUCGUGUUAAACAAGAAAGAAUGAAUAAACUUUUUAAAGAUGAGACUUUGAGCUCACUUAAAGAGGCAUAUCUUCUACAAUGUGAAUCUCGCUUGAAAAGUAAAAUGAUCAAGAAAUCUUCCAAUGCAAAAGGUACAAGGGUUAUUCAAUUAUUAAAACUUAUGCAUACUGACGUAUGUGAUCCCCUGAAUGUUAGUUUGAGAUUGAUUACAAUUAUUAUGUAAACUUUUUAGAUAUGUAUUCCAGAUAUUUUUAUGUGUAUCUAAUGCACCACAAGAGUGAAACUUUUAAAAAUUUUCAAGAGUUUAAUGUGAAAGUGGAUAAACAAUUAGGUUUACCCAUUAAGACACUUCGGUUUGACCGACGUGAGGAAUACUUAUUGGACGAGUUCAUAGGAUACCACAUAGAGAAUAAGAUACUAUCUCAAUUAACUAUGUGGGGUAAUCCACAACAAAAUAGCGUGGCAGAGAGAUGGAACAAAACCUUGCUUGAUAUGGUUUAUUCAAUGUUAAGUUAUUCACAACUGUCGAUAUCAUUCUGGGUUUAAGCAUUACUAACGACUUGCUACAUUCUAAAUUACAUAAAAACUAAGGCAACACCUCAAGAUCCAUUCGAAAUGUGGCACAGCAUGAAGCCAGGCUGAAAUCAUUUUUGGAAUUGGGGAUGCCCAACCUACAUGUCGGCUAAAGAUGCAAAAAAGUUGAAAGUACAGAUAGAAUUGUGCAUGUUUGUUGGCUAUCCAAAACGGAGCAACGGUGAAUAAUAUUAUAACCCAAAAGACCAAACGGUUAAGGUUUCAACUUAUGCUACUUUCCUUGAGGAAAUAUACAUUAACAAUUUUAAACUUCGAAGUAGAUUGUUACUUCAAAAAAUUUCAGGAAAAUGAACUUAUUUUUUGAUGACUUGUAAGUCAUUUUCCGUAAAACAAACGCAUCUGAAGGAAAAUGAAGAAGAGGAUAAUAAUUUUAUAAAUAGUGAUCUAAAAAAUUUUACUCAUACCAUAAUUUUGAUUUAAUUUAUUAGUGAUUUUCAUUUUCUAUUUUACUUUUUUUAGUGACUCUUUAAAUAAUUGAGACCAUUAAAAAUAAACCAUAACAACUAAAAUUAAAAAUUUAAUAUUCUAAAAAAAACCAUAUAUUUUAAUUUCAAUUUUAAAUUUAAAUUGUUCAAAGAUUAAGCUAUUUUCUCGGCUUUGUAGGCACAUUUCAAAAAUUUUUUACCACAAUUUAUCUCUCUCAAAAAUAGUAAACCUAACAACAUCCUUUUACCAAAUUUACACAUUUACACGUAUUGUCCAAAACUCUCGGCAAUUAAUAAUCCAACUGCUAUAAAUUGUGCCAAAUUUCAAUGGAAAAAACACACAACACAAAUUACCAUUAUUAGUCUCCCAACUAGCAAAAUUUUUAUUUAAAGAAACAUGAAGAGGUUUUCCCUUAUUGUUUUGUGCGUGGUGACUCUAGUAGUGGUGUUAUUUUCGGGUGCAGAGGCAGCGCCAGCGCCGAAAUGUGAUAACCCCUUGGAGUAUAGCUCAUGCUUGAACGCGUAUAAGAAGCCACCUCCAUCAUCUGGUUGUUGCCAAAAAAUGAAGGAACAGGCGCCAUGCUAUUGUGAGUACAUGAAGAUAGAAGAUGUCAAACGUGUUUUUGACAGAGUUGAGAUUGCAAAAAUGGCUAAAUUGUGUGGAGUUUCAUAUUCUUCCACCUGCUAGAAUCCCGUUUGGUUUCAAUUGACUAUCGCUGGCUGGGAUAACCUGGCAUCUCAAUAAACGAAAUUUUAUUUGAAAACUAUUUUUUGUACUCAUAAUUUCGACUAUAAUGCACUUGUGUUCUUUUUUUUUUUUGGAAUGAUACUGGUCAUUUGCUAUUAUUUACCUUUAUUGUCUUGAUUCAAGUUACAUAUGUGCUAAAAGAACUACACAAUGAUCUAGAUUUUGUUUGAACCGUACUGGAUUGGUUGGAUUGAAAACUGAUCUAGAUACCGAUAUAAUUAGAGAGGUUAGAUUAGUUGACCCACGAACCAAUGGAG
rnacentral:lncRNA from 1 species